rnacentral:rRNA from 1 species
AGAGUUUGAUCCUGGCUCAGAACGUACGCUGGCGGCACGCCUAACACAUGCAAGUCGAACGAAGUAGCAAUACUUAGUGGCAGACGGGUGAGUAACAUGUAGGUAUCUGCCCUUUGGCCUGGAAUAACACGAGGAAACUUGUGCUAAUACUGGAUAAGUCUUUACGGAGAAAGCUUUAUGCACCAUUGGAUGAGCCUGCACUUGAUUAGUUUGUUGGUGGGGUAAUGGCCUACCAAGACUGUGAUCAAUAGCUGAUUUGAGAGGAUGAUCAGCCACAUUGGGACUGAGACACGGCCCAAACUCCUACGGGAGGCAGCAGUGGGGAAUCUUGCACAAUGGAGGAAACUCUGAUGCAGCGAUGCCGCGUGAGUGAAGAAGGCCUUUGGGUUGUAAAGCUCUUUCGUCGGGGAAGAAAAUGACUGUACCCGAAUAAGAAGGUCCGGCUAACUUCGUGCCAGCAGCCGCGGUAAUACGAAGGGACCUAGCGUAGUUCGGAAUUACUGGGCUUAAAGAGUUCGUAGGUGGUUGAAAAAGUUAGUGGUGAAAUCCCAGAGCUUAACUCUGGAACUGCCAUUAAAACUUUUCAGCUAGAGUAUGAUAGAGGAAAGCAGAAUUUCUAGUGUAGAGGUGAAAUUCGUAGAUAUUAGAAAGAAUACCAAUUGCGAAGGCAGCUUUCUGGAUCAUUACUGACACUGAGGAACGAAAGCAUGGGUAGCGAAGAGGAUUAGAUACCCUCGUAGUCCAUGCCGUAAACGAUGUGUGUUAGACGUUGGAAAUUUAUUUUCAGUGUCGCAGGGAAACCGAUAAACACACCGCCUGGGGAGUACGACCGCAAGGUUAAAACUCAAAUGAAUUGACGGGGACCCGCACAAGUAGUGGAGCAUGUGGUUUAAUUCGAAGAUACGCGCAGAACCUUACCAACACUUGACAUGUUCGUCGCGACUCUAAGAGAUUAGAGUUUUCGGUUCGGCCGGACGAAACACAGGUGCUGCAUGGCUGUCGUCAGCUCGUGUCGUGAGAUGUUGGGUUAAGUCCCGCAACGAGCGCAACCCUCACUUUUAGUUGCCAUCAUUAAGUUGGGCACUCUGAAAGAACUGCCAGUGAUAAGCUGGAGGAAGGUGGGGAUGACGUCAAGUCCUCAUGGCCCUUACGUGUUGGGCUACACACGUGCUACAAUGGUAUCUACAACAGGAAGCAAGACUGCGAAGUUAAGCAAAUCCCUAAAAGAUACCUCAGUUCGGAUUGCACUCUGCAACUCGAGUGCAUGAAGCUGGAAUUACUAGUAAUCGUGGAUCAGCGUGCCACGGUGAAUGCGUUCCCGGGUCUUGUACACACCGCCCGUCACACCAUGGGAGUUGGUUCUACCUUAAGGCAAGGUUUCAAACCCUUGACCACGGUAUAGUCAGCGGCUGGGGUGAAGUCGUAACAAGGUAACC